GAGACAGAUCUCCCAAGUCUGUCAUGAGCAAUGGCAUUGCACAGGCUGGUGAAGAUGAUACUUUAGAUGUUUCAAAGUCCCUUGAGAAGCAAGAUGGUACCGACUCUCCUGUUCUGUCCAAAGGAAAUAAUUUAUCUGGUAAUGAUGAGCGCGAUGAUAUGGACACUGAAAAAAUCGACAGUAAAGAUCCAAAGCUGGAAAGAAGUACCAUUAAGAAGCAAGAUGGUACCGACUCUCCUGUUCUGUCCAAAGGUAAUAAUUUAUCUGGUAAUGAUGAGCGCGAUGAUAUGGACACUGAAAAAAUCGACAGUAAAGAACCAAAGCCGGAAAGAAGUGUCAGGAGGAAAGGAAAGAAAGCUAGCUCUUCAAAGUCGACCAAACCUUCUAAGAAGUCAAAUGUUGUCAGUGAGAAGGAA
rnacentral:lncRNA from 1 species